UAUGACAACUUCCACCAAUUGGUAUGUCCCUUAAAGCUCCACCAUGAGUCCAAUAUCUACGACAGUUCUUGUAGAAGUAGUGCGGUUGAGUCUCACUGUACUAGUUGUAAUAAAAAAAAACUUUUUGAUGUCAAGAUGUGAUUCUGAUAACACUAAGUUUUGUUAUUAUAACACCUACAAUAAGACUCAACCUCGCUACUUCUGCUAGAAUUGUCAUAGAUAUUAGACUCGUAGUGGAGUUUUAAGAAAAGUACCAAUUGAUGGAAGUUGUCGUA